UGGGGAAUAUUGCACAAUGGGCGCAAGCCUGAUGCAGCCAUGCCGCGUGUGUGAAGAAGGCCUUCGGGUUGUAAAGCACUUUCAGCGGGGAGGAAGGCGGUGAGGUUAAUAACCUCAUCGAUUGACGUUACCCGCAGAAGAAGCACCGGCUAACUCCGUGCCAGCAGCCGCGGUAAUACGGAGGGUGCAAGCGUUAAUCGGAAUUACUGGGCGUAAAGCGCACGCAGGCGGUCUGUCAAGUCGGAUGUGAAAUCCCCGGGCUCAACCUGGGAACUGCAUUCGAAACUGGCAGGCUAGAGUCUUGUAGAGGGGGGUAGAAUUCCAGGUGUAGCGAUGAAAUGCGUAGAGAUCUGGAGGAAUACCGGUGGCGAAGGCGGCCCCCUAGACAAAGACUGACGCUCAGGUGCGAAAGCGUGGGGAGCAAACAGG
rnacentral:rRNA from 1 species